rnacentral:rRNA from 1 species
UACGUAGGGUGCAAGCGUUGUCCGGAAUUAUUGGGCGUAAAGAGCUCGUAGGCGGUCUGUCGCGUCGGCUGUGAAAACCCGAGGCUCAACCUCGGGCCUGCAGUCGAUACGGGCAAACUAGAGUACUGCAGGGGAGACUGGAAUUCCUGGUGUAGCGGUGAAAUGCGCAGAUAUCAGGAGGAACACCGGUGGCGAAGGCGGGUCUCUGGGCAGUAACUGACGCUGAGGCGCGAAAGCGUGGGGAGCAAACGGG